UACGAAGGGGCUAGCGUUGCUCGGAAUCACUGGGCGUAAAGCGCACGUAGGCGGCUUCUUAAGUCAGGGGUGAAAUCCUGGAGCUCAACUCCAGAACUGCCUUUGAUACUGAGAGCUUGAGUCCGGGAGAGUGAGUGGACUGCGAGUGUAGAGGUGAAAUUCGUAGAUAUUCGCAAGAACACCAGUGGCGAAGGCGGCUCACUGGCCCGGUACUGACGCUGAGGUGCGAAAGCGUGGGAGCAA
rnacentral:rRNA from 1 species